UUGUAUGGAGGGUUGUAGCAUAUCUUAGGUAUUUGGCUAACCUGGCUCAACUACCCUUCACCUUUUAUCAUCUAAUCCAUCUCACUACACUAAAAUAGACUUUUAGCGGCAAUUAUUUAGUGGCAAUAUACUAAUUGCCGGUAAUUCAUUUAAUGAAGCUCAAUGUUAGAGGCAAUUAUAUAUUUGCAGGGAAUAAAUAAGUUUUUACUGGCAACCAAAAAGAACAGCCACUAAUAAUAGUAUAUUGUUUUAGUACUCCUAUUAAUUUAGAUCUUCCCUCCAUUUUUUUCCUAAAUAUAUGUUCCCUCCAAAGAAUAUUUUAUUUCUCUUUGGAAUCGAUUUACUUGGUUCUUCCUCUCGCCAAAGACCAUGAUUAGGGAAAAAUUUUCAGCCGAAUAAGAUUCGGCCCUAGCAAGCUAAUCAAUUCCUUCCGCCCAAGGUCUAACCGACAUAAACUCUUUCUCCAUCAAUGUUGCCGUCUAUUUCUUCGUAGAAGAUGACCGGUCUCAACCUUGGAUGUUAUGUUUUAUCAUUUCUACAUAAUAGAAAAGAAGGAUGGACUUUGAAGAAUUCUGCAUAGCUGUAUUAGAGUGUUCAUCAACUAGAUUAUACAAAAGAUUUUGUACCUGUAAGUUCCUUUUUCUGCUCUCGUAUUAGCGUCAUAUAUAUGCUCUCUAAAUAA